CCAUAUUGUGGAUUUGAGGAGAGAUCAUGUCUUGACUUAUGAUUCCGAAAGGUUUUGUGAGUUGAAGUAUGCGCAUCUUCUGGACGUCUAUACCUCUGAAGGUGGGGCGUACCUAGAGCGUACACGUUGGGACCCGAAAGAUGGUGAACUAUGCCUGGUCAGGACGAAGCCGGGGGAAACCCUGGUGGAGGUUCGUAGCGAUUCUGACGUGCAAAUCGAUCGUCGGAACUGGGUAUAGGGGCGAAAGACUAAUCGAACCAUCUAGUAGCUGGUUCCCUCCGAAGUUUCCCUCAGGAUAGCUGGCGCUUAUACCAGUCUCAUCCGGUAAAGCGAAUGAUUAGAGGCCUUGGGGCCGAAACGACCUCAACCUAUUCUCAAACUUUAAAUGGGUGAGAAGUCAGGCUUGCUUGAUCGAAGCUCUGACAAUGGAUGGUGAGUGCCAAGUGGGCCACUCUUGGUAAGCAGAACUGGCGCUGUGGGA
rnacentral:rRNA from 1 species